rnacentral:tRNA from 1 species
GGGCCAUUGGCUCAAUGGUAGAGCAGGCGACUCUUAAUCGUCAGGUUGCAGGUUCGAGUCCUGCAUGGCCCACCA